rnacentral:lncRNA from 1 species
UUUAGGUUGGAAGGAACCUUAAAGACAAUCUAGUUUCGACUCCCCUGUUAUGGACAGGGACACCUUGUAUUAGAUCAGGUUGCUCAGAGCUCCGUCCAGCCUGGGCUCGAAUAUUUUGGCAGAUGGGUCAUCUGCAACUGGCAUGGGCAACCUGGUCCAAUGUCUCACCACCCUCACAGGAAAGAAUGUCUUCUGAAUAUCUAAUUUAACCUACUCUCUUUCAUUUUAAAGCCAUUCCCCCUUGUCCUAUCACUACAUUCCCUUGGGGGACAAAAAAAUCCAAAAAACCAUUUCCAGCUUUCUUGCAGCCCCGCUGAAAGGUGCUGUAAGGUUUCCCCAGUGACUUCUCAUCUCUGGUCUGCACUCCCUGCCCUUAGCCUGUUUUUACAGGACAGGUACUUCAGCCUUCUUCUUUCUGUCCUGCACCAGACAUUUUUAAGGUGACUAUAAAAACCUGUAGAAUUAAAAAGAAAGCAGCAUCAUUAAAGAAUCCCCCAGACAGAUACAUUCAAGUGAUAAAGUGUCUGCUAAAACUAUUUAACAACAUAAUGCUGGCUUUUUUACUGUCAAUCUGUAAAGACUGGAGCCAUGAGAUGUUUAAAGACUGGGGUCAUGACUAGAAGUGGGGGAUUAUAGCACCUCCAAAGAAGCAAAUGAUCUCUGAUCUUCUCUCCUCCACCCUUCCGUAGGCAGGCGAAUAUGCACAGUGAACAUGCACAGCACAUAUCAGAGAGGAGAAUGCAUUCCUGAGCUCUGAAAAACAUGUUCCGUAACACUGGACAGCCAGUGCACAACUCCCUUUGUGAGGCAGACGAGUUUACAGGAGCUGCUUGACAUUUUGCUGGAGGUGAGAUGAGGAUCUCCGAUUUGAUCAUCUGGUAGUGUCUCUGUUACCUUUUUGCCUUGAUGCUCUCAUACUUUCAGGCAAAUUGGCUGAAUUUGGUGCUUCAUUUGUUUCACAAUAAUAAUGGUCCUGUCUCUGCACCAUUUCUCUGAAGCACACAAGAGAAAAGAUAUGGUGCACCUCUCCAGCCACAACAACCUUGGUCACAAGUUGCAAGGAGGAGGCAGUGGCUGGGUUUGCUCAGAAAGGCUCCUUUCUGUGAAGCAAAGCAGAAGAGAAAUGUAUUUGCCCCAGAGAUGCCUCAGGGAGGCAUGACACAGUGAUACUGGUGUAGCAUGGAGAAGUGCAGAGCAUGGGGAAGAUCCACAGGUCUCUGCCAGCACCUGGCUGAGCCAAGAGAAGAGAACAAGACCAAAUCCACCUGAAACAGCAAGUGUAGAGCCUAUUUCUCCUUUUUACAUCAGUAUUACACUCAAUUCCUUCAGAUGCUCUCAACUUCCCUGAUGCACCCCAAUGAGCGUGGAGGUAACAAGUGCUCUCUGAUAAUGCCAUCGGAAUUACAGCAGGGUCCAGCCCAGUGUGCUGGAUCCGAUCCCUCUCCUGCUGUAGCAUUUCACUAGCAAGUGUCAUUUAGAUGGUUUUGGGAAAGAAUCCAGGAUUUGUUUCACAGACAGUAUUUCCUCAACAGCUCAGUGAAUAUGGAAUAGUUUGAACUAACCAUGCAAAUCUUGCUUGUCGUCUUAUGUAGAGAAACUAUAUCUAUUCUAAAGUCUGGGCCAGGACUUUCAACUGCUGAUGGGGGAUAGUUAUGCAGACUUCAAAGGAGCUGUAUCAGCUUUUACCAAGUGGGGAUCCAGACCUUUAUUCAUAUUUUAAAAUUCAGAAACUGUGCCUAGGUAAAGCAUUUUUCUCUAUAUUUUCAAGUAGCCAGUUUUUUAUUUUAUAGCUGUUCUCUCAGUGGCAGGAUUGUUUCUUAGUAGUCAAUGUUUAAAGGCCCUUCAAGGCUGAAGGAAUUAAAAAUGAAUAAUUUAAAGCUGGUCUAUGAUGCAUAAUUUUUAACAUAUGUUUUACAGGCCAUGUGGAACAGUUUUUGACUUGUCAGUAGAUAUUUUACAAACAUGCUGUGCUGGAACCAAAACCUUUUUUAUUUAAGAGUCAGAUUUGAGCCCUCCUAUGCUUCAAUACCGCAGUGUGCUGGAGUCUACAAGCCAUAACAAGGAAACCAUUAUCACCAGCACUGAUCAGAAAAAAGGAGAAAUGAAGCAAUUGAAGCACUUUUUUCCUCUUAAACACACUGCUAAACCAGAUGUGGACA